UACUUGAAAGCGAAUUAUCGCGCUAAGUUUCGGCCUUAGUCUUGAGACUCUUUCUCUUAAGUAU
rnacentral:tRNA from 1 species